AACGAACGCUGGCGGCAGGCCUAACACAUGCAAGUCGAACGCCCCGCAAGGGGAGUGGCCGACGGGUGAGUAACACGUGGGAACCUUCCCUAUAGUACGGAAUAGCCCAGGGAAACUUGGAGUAAUACCGUAUACGCCCGAAAGGGGAAAGAAUUUCGCUAUAGGAUGGGCCCGCGUAGGAUUAGCUAGUUGGUGAGGUAAUGGCUCACCAAGGCGACGAUCCUUAGCUGGUUUGAGAGAACGACCAGCCACACUGGGACUGAGACACGGCCCAGACUCCUACGGGAGGCAGCAGUGGGGAAUAUUGGACAAUGGGCGCAAGCCUGAUCCAGCCAUACCGCGUGAGUGAUGAAGGCCUUAGGGUUGUAAAGCUCUUUUGGCGGGGACGAUAAUGACGGUACCCGCAGAAUAAGUCCCGGCUAACUUCGUG
rnacentral:rRNA from 1 species